CCUACGGGAGGCAGCAGUGGGGAAUUUUGGACAAUGGGCGCAAGCCUGAUCCAGCCAUGCCGCGUGUCUGAAGAAGGCCUUCGGGUUGUAAAGGACUUUUGUCAGGGAAGAAAAGGCUGUCGCUAAUACCGACAGUUGAUGACGGUACCUGAAGAAUAAGCACCGGCUAACUACGUGCCAGCAGCCGCGGUAAUACGUAGGGUGCGAGCGUUAAUCGGAAUUACUGGGCGUAAAGCGAGCGCAGACGGUUACUUAAGCAGGAUGUGAAAUCCCCGGGCUCAACCUGGGAACUGCGUUCUGAACUGGGUGACUAGAGUGUGUCAGAGGGAGGUAGAAUUCCACGUGUAGCAGUGAAAUGCGUAGAGAUGUGGAGGAAUACCGAUGGCGAAGGCAGCCUCCUGGGAUAACACUGACGUUCAUGCUCGAAAGCGUGGGUAGCAAACAGGAUUAGAUACCCUGGUAGUCCACGCCCUAAACGAUGUCAAUUAGCUGUUGGGCAACUUGAUUGCUUAGUAGCGUAGCUAACGCGUGAAAUUGACCGCCUGGGGAGUACGGUCGCAAGAUUAAAACUCAAAGGAAUUGACG
rnacentral:rRNA from 1 species